rnacentral:rRNA from 1 species
UACGUAGGGGGCAAGCGUUGUCCGGAUUUAUUGGGCGUAAAGAGCGUGUAGGCGGUUUGGUAGGUCCGCUGUGAAAACUCGAGCUCAACCUCGAGACGCCGGUGGAAACCAUCAGACUAGAGUCCGGAAGAGGAGAGUGGAAUUCCUGGUGUAGCGGUGAAAUGCGCAGAUAUCAGGAAGAACACCCGUGGCUAAGGCGGCUCUCUAGUACGGUACUGACGCUGAGACGCGAAAAGCGUGGGGAGCGAACAGG